CAUACAGAUACAGUCAUACAGGCAUUGAGAUACACAGACACUAACAUACACAAUCAUACAGAGACAUACAGGCACAGACAUUCAGAUACAGUCACACAGAGACAUGCAGGCACAGACAUUGAGAUGCAGUCAUACAGACACUGUCAUACAGAGACAUAUUUACACAGACACAGUCAUACACAGACAUUCAGACACAGUCAUACAAUUAAGAAA